GGCCCCAUCGUCUAACGGUUAGGACGACAGGUUUUCAACCUGUAAAUCGGAGUUCGAUUCUCCGUGGGGUCA
rnacentral:tRNA from 1 species